rnacentral:rRNA from 1 species
GACGAACGCUGGCGGCGUGCUUAACACAUGCAAGUCGAACGGAAAGGCGCGGCGUUUGUGGGGUGCUCGAGUGGCGAACGGGGGAGUAACACGUGAGGAACAUGCCCUUGACUGUGGGAGAACAUCAGGAAACUGGGGCUAAUACCGGAUAGGAGCUCCUGCAGCAGGGUGGGGGGUGGAAAGUUUCGGCGGUUGGGGAUGGACUCGCGGCUUAUCAGCUUGUUGGGGGGGUAGGGGCGGACCAAGUCUUUGAAGGGUCGCCGGCCUGAGAGGGUGACCACCCUCCUUGCGCCUGCGAUACGGCCCAGUCUCCUACCUUCCGCAGCAGUCGAGAGCCUUACGCAGUGGCCGCACGCCUGUUGCGGCAACCCCCCGUUCGUGAUACCCUCCUUUUAGUUAUGAACCGCUUUCUCCUUUACCGUGCCCUUCUUGACGGUACUUAGUCAAAAAGCCCCGGCUAACUACGUG